GACGAACGCUGGCGGCGUGCUUAACACAUGCAAGUCGAACGGAAAGGCCCUGCUUUUGUGGGGUGCUCGAGUGGCGAACGGGUGAGUAACACGUGAGUAACCUGCCCUUGACUUUGGGAUAACUUCAGGAAACUGGGGCUAAUACCGGAUAGGAGCUCCUGCUUCAUGGUGGGGGUUGGAAAGUUUCGUCGGUUGGGGAUGGACUCGCGGCUUAUCAGCUUGUUGGUGGGGUAGUGGCUUACCAAGGCUUUGACGGGUCGCCGGCCUGAGAGGGUGACCGGCCACAUUGGGACUGAGAUACGGCCCAGACUCCUACGGGAGGCAGCAGUGGGGAAUAUUGCACAAUGGGCGGAAGCCUGAUGCAGCAACGCCGCGUGCGGGAUGACGGCCUUCGGGUUGUAAACCGCUUUCGCCUGUGACGAAGCGUGAGUGACGGUAAUGGGUAAAGAAGCACCGGCUAACUACGUG
rnacentral:rRNA from 1 species